UAGUUAUAAACUUUGAUUUAUCCGCCAGAAUACUACGAGCAACAGCUUAAAACUCAAAGGACUUGGCGGUGCUCUACACCCCCCUAGAGGAGCCUGUUCUAUAAUCGAUAAUCCACGAUAAACCUCACCAUCUAUUGCCAAUACAGCCUAUAUACCACCGUCCAGCCCACCCUUCAAAGGGCCAACAGUAGGCAUAAUUAUAAACAUAAGAACGUCAGGUCAAGGUGUAGCAUAUAAAAUGGGAAGAAAUGGGCUACAUUUUCUAAUUUAGAAAAUUACGGAAAAGCUUGUGAAACAAAACUAUAAAGGAGGAUUUAGCAGUAAAAAGAAAAAAGAGCGUUCUUUUUAAACCG
rnacentral:rRNA from 1 species